AUUGAACGCUGGCGGCAGGCCUAACACAUGCAAGUCGAGCGGAGCGGCGGACGGGUGAGUAAUGGCUAGGAAUCGGCCUGGUCGUGGGGGAUAAGGUCCGGAAACGGGCGCUAAUACCGCAUACUAUCAGAUGAGGCGCGGUCGGAUUAGCUAGUUGGUGGGGUAAAGGCCUACCAAGGCGACGAUCCGUAACUGGUCUGAGAGGAUGAUCAGUCACACUGGAACUGAGACACGGUCCAGACUCCUACGGGAGGCAGCAGUGGGGAAUAUUGGACAAUGGGCGAAAGCCUGAUCCAGCCAUGCCGCGUGUGUGAAGAAGGUCUUCGGAUUGUAAAGCACUUUAAGUUGGGAGGCGUUACCAACAGAAUAAGCACCGGCUAACUUCGUGCCAGCAGCCGCGGUAAUUC
rnacentral:rRNA from 1 species